AACGAACGCUGGCGGCAGGCCUAAAACAUGCAAGUCGAACGCCGUAGCAAUACGGAGUGGCAGACGGGUGAGUAACACGUGGGAACGUGCCCUUUGGUCCGGAACAACACAGGGAAACUUGUGCUAAUACCGGAUAAGCCCUUACGGGGAAAGAUUUAUCGCCGAAGGAUCGGCCCGCGUCUGAUUAGCUAGUUGGUGGGGUAAUGGCCCACCAAGGCUACGAUCAGUAGCUGGUCUGAGAGGAUGAUCAGCCACACUGGGACUGAGACACGGCCCAGACUCCUACGGGAGGCAGCAGUUAGGAAUCUUGGACAAUGGGCGCAAGCCUGAUCCAGCCAUGCCGCGUGAGUGAUGAAGGCCUUAGGGUUGUAAAGCUCUUUCAGCGGGGAAGAUAAUGACGGUACCCGCAGAAGAAGCCCCGGCUAACUUCGUGCCAGCCGCCGCAGUAA
rnacentral:rRNA from 1 species